rnacentral:lncRNA from 1 species
GCUGAAGGGAGUGGUCUCAGUGGGAGGAGCUGAAUGAGCCCGGAGCGAGGAGCGGCGUGCAGAGAGCGUGGUGGCGUCCACGGUUCUGAGCGUGAGGAGCCGCGCGUGUUGGCUAGACCCGAUGUAUGUGCACCAAAGGAGGUGACUUGGAGGAGAGCAAACCAAUGGAGAUGAGCAUAAUCUUACGUAAUGUCUUCCAACAGUCAGUGCUCAAUAAAUAUUUGUGGAGUGAGCGAACAAGGAAAGGGCGCAUACGACUUAAGAGAGUUCAAUCCCAAGGUGGGGUUUUUUUGUUGUUUUUUUUUUUGUUUUUUUCUUCCUGGCAAAGUCACUGAAUUUUGAUCAAACUCUUGCUUCUUUCUAAAUAGAAUCUUUAACUGAUUUAAACAGUGAAAGAAUGGGAAAAGAUACAUUUGGCACCUAGAAAUCAAGAUUAUUUGGAGAAAAGGAGAAACCUUUGUGGAUUUUUCUCUAAAAAGCCCUCAGAUCAGUUGUCCUAAGCAACUGUAAGAGGAAGUCAGGUGUUUUCCUGCCCCUCUCAAGUUUGGACAAGAUACUUGGAAGUGUUCAGCAGCAGUAGCAAAUCAGUGAGGGCCAUAUGCUGAGAUCCUCUUAGCCGGCUCCAAAUGCUCUGAUUAUGAGAAGAAAAAAAAACCAUAUGCAAGCUAGUAUUUCUGGAUAAAGCACGCAUUCAAAAAUGAACAAGACAGUCUGAAAAAAAUUAGAUUGAAUUAAACAUAUAAAUCAGAUACUUUGUCAUACCGUCAUUGCCAUGCAGGAUUAUCUAGACCAGGCUAAGAAGGCUACUGUUUGCAAAAAUUGACCUAUAGUAAAUAGGUGUUGUUAACUCCUGUGAUCAAGUAUCCCUUUAUCUGUCAGGCCGUCCCCUGCACUGUGGCCCAAAGAAUGUAUUGUACCUGAAAGUCCAUCCUGGGACUGUUGGUGUUCACGGCUUGGCAUUUUCUUUAUGGAAUGUAUAAAUGGUUUUAGUUAAUGCAAACGUUUUGGUAAGAAAAAUAGGCCACAUGUAAAAAAC